GACGAACGCUGGCGGCGUGCCUAAUACAUGCAAGUAGGACGCAGUUGCGAACGGGGGAGAAACGCGUAGGUAACUACCUAUUAGAGGGGGAUAACUCUUGUAAACGAUAGCUAAUACCGCAUACUAGUAGAUGGACCUGCGUUGUAUUCGCUAGUAGGUAGGGUAAUGGCCUACCGAGGCAACGAUACAUAGCCGACCUGGGAGGGUGAUUGGGCACACUGGGACUGAGACACGGCCCCGACUCCUAAGGGAGGCAAGAGUUGGGAAUCUUCGGCAAUGGGGGGAAACCUGACCGAGCAAAGCCGCGUGAGUGAAGAAGGUUUUCGGAUCGGAAAGCUCUGUUGUUAAGGAAGCGGUACUUAACCAGAAAGGGACGGCUAACUACGUGCCAGCAGCCGCGGUAAUUC
rnacentral:rRNA from 1 species